rnacentral:rRNA from 1 species
UACAGAGGUCUCAAGCGUUGUUCGGAUUCAUUGGGCGUAAAGGGUGUGUAGGUGGCGCGCUAAGUCGGGUGUGAAAUUUCGGAGCUUAACUCCGAAACUGCAUUCGAUACUGGCGUGCUUGAGGACUGGAGAGGAGACUGGAAUUCAUGGUGUAGCAGUGAAAUGCGUAGAGAUCCGGAGGAACACCAGUGGCGAAGGCGACACGCUGGGCCGUACCUGACGCUAAAGCGCGACAGCAUGGGGAGCAAACGGG